GACGAACGCUGGCGGCGUGCUUAACACAUGCGAGUCGAACGGGAUUUAGUAGACAGAAGCCUCGGCUAAAGAUUACUAAUGAGAGUGGCGAACGGGUGAGUAACGCGUGAGCAACCUGCCUAUGACAGUGGGAUAGCCUCGGGAAACCGGGAUUAAUACCGCAUAAAAUCGUAGAAACACAUGUUUUAACGGUCAAAGAUUUAUCGGUCAUAGAUGGGCUCGCGUCUGAUUAGCUAGUUGGUGAGAUAACAGCCCACCAAGGCGACGAUCAGUAGCCGGUCUGAGAGGAUGAACGGCCACAUUGGAACUGAGACACGGUCCAAACUCCUACGGGAGGCAGCAGUGGGGAAUAUUGCACAAUGGGGGAAACCCUGAUGCAGCGACGCCGCGUGAACGAAGAAGGUAUUCGUAUCGUAAAGUUCUGUCCUAUGGGAAGAUAAUGACAGUACCAUAGAAGAAAGCGCCGGCUAAAUACGUG
rnacentral:rRNA from 1 species